UACGUAGGGUGCGAGCGUUGUCCGGAAUUAUUGGGCGUAAAGGGCUCGUAGGCGAUUUGUCGCGUCGGGAGUGAAAACUCAGGGCUUAACCCUGAGCCUGCUUCCGAUACGGGCAGACUAGAGGUAUGCAGGGGAGAACGGAAUUCCUGGUGUAGCGGUGAAAUGCGCAGAUAUCAGGAGGAACACCAGUGGCGAAGGCGGGUUGCCUGGGACGUCUUGACUGACGCUGAGGCGCGAAAGCGUGGGGAGCGAACAGG
rnacentral:rRNA from 1 species